CGGGGCGUGGCGCAGUCUGGUAGCGCGCCUGCUUUGGGUGCAGGAAGCCGGAGGUUCGAAUCCUCUCGCCCCGACCG
rnacentral:tRNA from 1 species